UACGGAGGGGGCUAGCGUUGUUCGGAAUUACUGGGCGUAAAGAGCGUGUAGGCGGCCAGGUAGGUCCGUUGUGAAAACUCGAGGCUCAACCUCGAGACGCCGAUGGAAACCAUCUGGCUAGAGUCCGGAAGAGGAGAGUGGAAUUCCCGGUGUAGCGGUGAAAUGCGCAGAUAUCGGGAAGAACACCCGUGGCUAAGGCGGCUCUCUAGUACGGUACUGACGCUGAGACGCGAAAGCGUGGGGAGCGAACAGG
rnacentral:rRNA from 1 species